rnacentral:misc_RNA from 1 species
AAGUCGUAACAAGGUUUCCGUAGGUGAACCUGCGGAAGGAUCAUUAACACGUAUCCAAACGUUAAACCCCCCUGUGAACCUUCAGUCGUACUCGUACGUCCGUUAGAAAAAGCAGCAAUCCCUGGUAAAUCAUCGCCGAACAGUUUUCGAUUCAGGGACGUCUGCAAGGAGCGUGCAUGUUGUGCGUGUAAGUGGCCUGGCAUCCCCAAGCAGUUAGUGUCUGAAAGUGUCACUAACGUUAGUGUCUGAAAGUGUCACUAACAUGUGUAAGGAUGACGCAGUCACGAUCGUUGGAGGCCCACACGGCCGACGACCGGGUCACUGGGUGCACCUGCUCUAUCUAUGUCCUGCGGGAAGUCCUGCGGUCGAACGCCGAAACCGAACAACUGUUAACAAUGGAUAUCUUGGUUCUC